AUGGCCGUGGUGCUCGGAACGAACGGCCAAGAUUCCGUUUUCCAGGAUCCACCUGAAUGGAUCGCUGAGGAAGGCCAUAAUUUAACACUGAACUGUAAUUACACAACAGCAGAAUUCGCUGGAGAAACUCUCUUUUGGUACAUUCAGUUUCCUGGGAAAUUUCCAAGAUAUUUACUGCACAGAUACAACGAGCAGCAAGGGGACAGGUCUACAGAUUUUCCUGACCGGUUCUCUGCUAAUUUGGACAAAAACAAGAAAACAGUGCAUUUAAAUAUCACCAACGUUGACGUCUCCGACUCUGCCGUCUACUGCUGUGCUCUGAGCUCCACACUGAUACGUAGAAUCUUUUGA